AGAAAGAAAGAGAAGAAAGAGAAGAAAAAGAAGAAAAAGAAGAGAAAAAAGAUUCCUCUCUCAAAUGGGCUGUUCGAUCGUUCAACUUUUCUUACUGUUGUGGUCUCAAAGGAGAUAUUUCUCGAUGGCUCUCUCCUCAUCUCU
rnacentral:ribozyme from 13 species